rnacentral:rRNA from 1 species
UGGAUGCUAUUCUCUGGGGCUAAGCCAUGCAUGCUUGUGAACUCUUUGUGGGGGAUUAGCGGACGGCUCAGUGAUAGCACGAUGAUUUGUUUGCGGGAUGAGCAGUAGCUGCGGGAAACUGCAGAUAGUGGUCUGCCCCUGUGGGGGUUGGCAAGUAAGUUGUGGGCCUAUCAGCUGGUAGUUAGGGUAAUGGCCUAACUAGGCGCAGACGGGAUACGGGGGAUCAGGGUUUGGUUCCGGAGAGGGAGCCUGAGAGAUGGCUACUACGUCCAAGGAUGGCAGCAGGCGCGAAACUUGCCUAAUCCUUUGGGGAGGCGGUUAUGAGAAGUGAUGUGUGUGCGAGUGCAAAGGGGUCGCAUGUGAUUGGAGGGCAAGUCGGGUGCCAGCAGCCGCGGUAAUACCUGCUCCAAUAGUGUCUAUGGUGGAUGCUGCAGUUAAAAUGUCCGUAGUCUGUUGUGUAUGUCUUUGUGUGUGAUGUUUGUGGUUGUGUGUGGAUGUAGUGAUGUGUGUGGCAGAGGACGAGGGGCACUGGAUAGUUGGGCGAGAGGUGAAAUGCGAAGACCCUGACUGGACGAGCGGAAGCGAAGGCUGUGCUCUUGGACUAAUGUUGCGAUGAAGGACGAAGGCUAGAGGAUCGAAAUCGAUUAGAUACCGUUUUAGUUCUAGCAGUAAACGAUGCCGACUGGACGGGACAGUGUGUGUUGUCCAUGAGAAAUCUUGAGUAUGCGGGUUCUGGGGAUAGUAUGCUCGCAAGAGUGAAACUUGAAGAGAUUGACGGAAGGACACCACAAGGAGUGGAGUGUGCGGCUUAAUUUGACUCAACGCGGGGCAACUUACCGGCUCUGAAG